GAAGCGGCAAGAGCUCAAAUUUGAAAUCUGGCCCCUCCGGGGUCCGAGUUGUAAUUUGCAGAGGAUGCUUCGGGUGCGGCCCCUGUCUAAGUGCCCUGGAACGGGCCGUCAGAGAGGGUGAGAAUCCCGUCUUGGGCAGAGUGCCCGUGCCCGUGUGAAGCUCCUUCGACGAGUCGAGUUGUUUGGGAAUGCAGCUCAAAAUGGGUGGUAAAUUUCAUCUAAAGCUAAAUACCGGCCGGAGACCGAUAGCGCACAAGUAGAGUGAUCGAAAGAUGAAAAGCACUUUGAAAAGAGAGUUAAACAGCACGUGAAAUUGUUGAAAGGGAAGCGCUUGCAACCAGACUCGGCCUCGGGGUUCAGCCAGCAUUCGUGCUGGUGUACUUCCCCGGGGCCGGGCCAGCGUCGGUUUGGGCGGCCGGUCAAAGGCCCCAGGAAUGUAUCGUCCUCCGGGACGUCUUAUAGCCUGGGGUGCAAUGCGGCCAGCCUGGACCGAGGAACGCGCUUCGGCACGGACGCUGGCGUAAUGGUCGCAAACGACCCGUCUUGAAAC
rnacentral:rRNA from 1 species